GAUGAAGAACGUAGCGAAAUGCGAUAAGUAAUGUGAAUUGCAGAAUUCAGUGAAUCAUCGAAUCUUUGAACGCACAUUGCGCCCCUUGGUAUUCCGAGGGGCAUGCCUGUUCGAGCGUCAUUAUAACCCCUCAAGCUCAGCUUGGUGUUGGGGCCUGCUGCACUGGCAGCCCUUAAAAUCAGUGGCGGCGCCAUCUGGCUCUAAGCGUAGUAAUUCUUCUCGCUAUGGAGUCCUGGUGGAUGCUUGCCAUCAACCCCCAAUUUUUCUAUGGUUGACCUCGGAUCAGGUAGGAAUACCCGCUGAACUUAAGCAUAUCAAUAAGCGGAGG
rnacentral:misc_RNA from 1 species